rnacentral:rRNA from 1 species
CGCGUAGAUAACCUGUCUUCAUGUCUGGAAUAAUACGCCGAAAGGGGUACUAAUACCGGAUAUUCUUGCUUUAUAUAAGUUUUGCAAGGAAAGGUGGCCUCUGUAUAUGCUACUGCAUGAAGAGGGGUCUGCGUACCAUUAGCUAGUAGGUGGGGUAAUGGCCUACCUAGGCGACGAUGGUUAGCGGGUCUGAGAGGAUGAUCCGCCACACUGGCACUGGAACACGGGCCAGACUCCUACGGGAGGCAGCAGUGAGGAAUAUUGCGCAAUGGGGGCAACCCUGACGCAGCGACGCCGCGUGAGUGAGGAAGGCCUUCGGGUCGUAAAGCUCUGUCAAAGGGAAAGAAGUGCAUGGUGGUUAAUACCUGUUAUAUUUGACGGUACCCUUAAAGGAAGCACCGGCUAACUCCGUGCCAGCAGCCGCGGUAAUACGGAGGGUGCAAGCGUUGUUCGGAAUUACUGGGCGUAAAGGGCGCGUAGGCGGUUUGAUAAGUCAGAUG